rnacentral:tRNA from 1 species
GGGGCUGUAGCUCAGUUGGCUAGAGCGUCUGGUUUGCAACCAGAAGGCCGAGGGUUCGAGUCCCUUCAGCUCCA